rnacentral:rRNA from 1 species
UACGUAGGGUGCAAGCGUUGUCCGGAAUUAUUGGGCGUAAAGAGCUCGUAGGCGGUCUGCCGCGUCGGCUGUGAAAACCCGAGGCUCAACCUCGGGCCUGCAGUCGAUACGGGCAAACUAGAGUACUGCAGGGGAGACUGGAAUUCCUGGUGUAGCGGUGAAAUGCGCAGAUAUCAGGAGGAACACCGGUGGCGAAGGCGGGUCUCUGGGCAGUAACUGACGCUGAGGAGCGAAAGCGUGGGGAGCGAACAGG